rnacentral:rRNA from 1 species
UGGGGGAUAUUGCACAAUGGGCGAAAGCCUGAUGCAGCGACGCCGCGUGGGGGAUGAAGGCCUUCGGGUUGUAAACUUCUUUUGCUCUGAACAAGGCAUGCUAAUGGGUGUGUUGAGUGUAGGGGUUGAUUAGCGCCGGCUAACUACGUGCCAGCAGCCGCGGUAAUACGUAGGGCGCGAGCGUUGUCCGGAAUUAUUGGGCGUAAAGGGCUUGUAGGUGGCUUGUUGCGUCUGUCGUGAAAGCUCAUGGCUUAACUGUGGGUUUGCGGUGGGUACGGGCUGGCUUGAGUGCAGGAGGGGAGGCUGGAAUUCCUGGUGUAGCGGUGGAAUGCGCAGAUAUCAGGAGGAAUACCGGUGGCGAAGGCGGGUCUCUGGGCUGUUACUGACACUGAGGAGCGAAAGCAUGGGGAGCGAACAGG